rnacentral:misc_RNA from 1 species
GAUGAAGAACGCAGCGAAAUGCGAUAAGUAAUGUGAAUUGCAGAAUUCAGUGAAUCAUCGAAUCUUUGAACGCACCUUGCACCCUUUGGCAUUCCGAAGGGUAUGCUCGUUUGAGUGUCAUUGUACUCUCACACUUCCGAUCUUUGGAUUGGGAGCGGUGGACUUGGGUGUUGCUGCUUACUGUGGCUCACCUCAAAUCGAUUCGUGCACCUCUUGGUUGGACAUAGUACGGCGUGAUAAGUGUCUUCGCCGGCACCUCAGUAGAGGGUGGCUGAUCGGGAGCUCUGCUUCAAACCGUCCUCGGACAACAACUGACAACUUGACCUCAAAUCGAGUAGGACUACCCGCUGAACUUAAGCAUAUCAAUAACGGAGGA